CACGGCGCACGGGUGCGUAACACGUGGGCAACCUGCCCUCUAGAGGGGGAUAACCCGCCGAAAGGCGGGCUAAUACCGCAUGACAUCCCAGUGACUCAAGCUAUUGGGAUCAAAGCCCGCAAGGGCGCUAGUGGAGGGGCCCGCGCCCGAUUAGCUUGUUGGCGAGGUAACGGCUCACCAAGGCUAUGAUCGGUAGCCGGUCUGAGAGGAUGGCCGGCCACACUGGAACUGAGACACGGUCCAGACUCCUACGGGAGGCAGCAGUGGGGAAUCUUGCACAAUGGGCGAAAGCCUGAUGCAGCGACGCCGCGUGGGGGAUGAAGCUUCUCGGAGUGUAAACCCCUUUCGACCCGGACGAAAGCCCGCAAGGGACUGACGGUACGGGUAUAAGAAGCCCCGGCUAACUACGUGCCAGCAGCCGCGGUAAGACGUAGGGGGCCAGCGUUGUUCGGAAUUACUGGGUGUAAAGGGUUCGUAGGCGGUGUGGCAAGUCGGGAGUGAAAUCUCUGGGCUCAACUCAGAGACUGCUUCCGAAACUGCUGUGCUGGAGUGUGGGAGAGGCGCGUGGAAUUGCAGGUGUAGCGGUGAAAUGCGUAGAUAUCUGCAGGAACACCCGUGGCGAAAGUGGCGCGCUGGACCACUACUGACGCUGAGGAACGAAAGCUAGGGGAGCAAACAGGACUAGAUACCCUGGUAGUCCUAGCCCUAAACGAUCAGGACUUGGGGUGCCACCCGUUCGGGUGUCGUCCCGGAGCUAACGCGUUAAGUCCUGCACCUGGGGAGUACGGUCGCAAGACUGAAACUCAAAGGAAUUGACGGGGGCCCGCACAAGCGGUGGAACAUGUGGUUCAAUUCGA
rnacentral:rRNA from 1 species